GGCCAUAGCUCAGCGGUAGAGCAUCUGCUUUGUGUGCAGAAGGUCCCAGGUCCAAUUCUCAGCAUCUCCAGGUAGGGCUG
rnacentral:tRNA from 1 species